GGAGGGGUGGGUGAGUGGUUAAUACCAGCAGGCUGUAAACCUGCCGCCCUUGCGGGCUGCGUAGGUUCGAAUCCUACCCCCUCCACCA
rnacentral:tRNA from 1 species